rfam:Trichobilharzia regenti genome assembly, scaffold: TRE_scaffold0031200
GUACUGAUGAAGAGUCCCAAACUAGGAUGAAACGACUGUCCAGUAC